rnacentral:snRNA from 1 species
AUGAUCGGAUCCGAUUUCAA